GCCACAGUGCCUCCUAGAGGAAGAGCGAGAAAGGGCAAGAGUCAUGCUUCCGAGUUUCCUUCACCUGAGCAACUCAAGGAAGAACGAGAGCCAUUUGCGGCUUCUGGGUAGUUUACGGGAAGGGGUGGUGAAGCAGAGGAAGACAGCGGUGUGUGACCUCGAGGGAACGUCUGGCAGCACGGCCUAUGGGAUGGGAAGAGGAGAAGGAUGGCCGGCAGCAUCGUGAGCCGUCCGGAGGUGCAGGAAGAGUCCCGGAGCUUCCGUCGUUUACUCAGUGGGGAGGCGGCGCCGCUCCGGGCGUCCUGGCUCCCCAGUGCCGCCUCCCCCAGGGGGCUCCAUGCCCCAGGCUCCCCGACCGAUGCUCUAGAUGCCAGGGCUGGGGACGGGUGGGGGGCGGCAGCGGCCCCGGUGCAGGGGCGGUGCCUCUAACCAACUUCUGAGCUGUUUUCCCCGGCCACCGCCGCGCUUUCUCCGAGGCCAGUCCCCGAAGCCCCGGAAAUCGGCUCGAAGUCUGGCGCUGGAGCGCGCCCUCGCCUAGAGCCCGCCCGCAGGCCGCGAGCGCCCAGGUCCAGGCCUGGCCGCCACCUGCCGGGGCUUGAGGCCACUUCCUCUUCGGGCCAAACUUUACCGAGUGUCAGCCCCCAGGGCCGGGCCGGGCGCUGUUCAACUUCUCCAGCGCGUCCAGCCCGCGGAACGCGGCAGAGGAGUGGGGGAGGGGUCAGGCGACUCGGUCCAGCGCCCAGUCCCUUGCCCAGACGGUACCCCCGCCGGCCCUAGGGUUGGAGAAGCCCGGGCGGAGGAGGGGGCGGGUGACGAGCCUGGCCACACCCCUGCCAAUCAACGCGCGCCCCGCCCACCCGCCCGUCUUAACCCCUUUCCGGUUCUGCCGAGUCGUGGCACGCUGGCUUUUAAGGUGCUCACCCUUACUUUUAACUCUGCUUUGUUUAGUCCUUUCCGUGUAACGUUAGUUACAGGACACGUUUGUCAGAGGACUACUGCUUAUUCUGUAACUGUCAUGUCUUUCCUUUGGAUCCUUAAGCUCUCAGUACUUCUCUCGUACCAAUGUCUGGGAUCCGGUAGUACUUUUUUUUGUGAGCCUCUAUUACAACAAUUACCACACCGUGUUAUAACUAUUUGUUUACUCUUUCCUGACCCCGCCCCCGCCCCGCCCCUUCUGUGGAAACCGAAACUUCCUGUAGGUUGGGGCCUAGACUGUUUACCUUUGUACCCACAAUGCUUCUCGCCUGCUGAGACACAGUAAUUCAACAAACGAAUAAAUGGUGCCUUCUCUA